CAGGUUUCUCGAAAAACGAACACAGAUUUUAAUUGAUUGUUCGUUGUCGUCGAAACCUGAA
rnacentral:pre_miRNA from 1 species